rnacentral:rRNA from 1 species
CACGAAGUUAGCCGGGGCUUCUUCUACGGCUACCGUCAUUAUCUUCACCGUUGAAAGAGCUUUACAACCCUAGGGCCUUCAUCACUCACGCGGCAUGGCUGGAUCAGGCUUGCGCCCAUUGUCCAGUAUUCCCCACUGCUGCCUCCCGUAGGAGUUUGGGCCGUGUCUCAGUCCCAAUGUGGCUGAUCAUCCUCUCAGACCAGCUAUGGAUCGUCGCCUUGGUAGGCCUUUACCCCACCAACUAGCUAAUCCAACGCGGGCUCAUCCAUCCCCGAUAAAUCUUUCCCCAAAAGGGCGUAUACGGUAUUAGCUCCAGUUUCCCGGAGUUGUUCCGUAGGGAUGGGUAGAUUCCCACGCGUUACUCACCCGUCUGCCGCUGACCCCGAAGGGCCCGCUCGACUUGCAUGUGUUAAGCCUGCCGCCAGCGUUCGUUCUGAGCCAGGAUCAAACU